ACAACGCAAGAAUUUUGGCUUUCGCUCCAGAAUGGCCCAGAUUGCGUUGCAGCGGAAAUCCACUAUCAACGUCGGAGCAUGCUACAGUGCCUUCACCCACCUGGCCACUAUGCACCGGCAACGAAGUGGCAAAGGGAGUGACCAGCCGUCGGCCUACGAAACAUUUGACAGCCUGGUGCUGUAUAUACAGUCCGAGUUGAAGUCUGCAAGGGCCUUGCCCAUGAAGCUUCUCACGGAUAAGUACAAUAACUGCAAACAGCACCAGCUUGGCCGACCAUCACACUCCGCCUUAGUAUCCAACUUUCAUGCUGAAAAAGAAGAUAAUGAGCUACUUGGGGACCAGCAAUUGACAUGUAUGGUAAGUGGCAUGGGUAUACAGGCGCACUCUUCACGGAGCAACCACUUGUCUGUGUCGUCUGGAAACGGUCCGAUGGCCGGUAAUACCCAGUCAUUGCCGAACAGUCAUACUAGUAACGCACCUGGCCCGACCCCAACCAUCCCAGUCCAGCCGGUCGCCGCAGAUUUCCUGCCCGCAUCCACGUUCACUCCGCACCCCAGUGGCCGGCAAGAGAACGGGCCCAAUGCCAGGAGUUACGACGGGCCCACUGCCAGGAAUUGCGAUAGGCUCACUUCCAGGAGUUACGAUAGGCCCGCUGCGAUAUCCGCUGGGCUUGUCCCCGCCUAUGUCGUGUUGCCCACUCAUUUCGGCUUCAAAGGAUCCGCUACUCCGCCGCGUCAGGUGAACACCAGUGGAUCAGUUUCAUCUUUGGGUACUACAUCAGCCUCCAGUACAGAUGUGUCGGCUAGUACGGCUUUGACUACAACCUCGGGUGCGAGGUAACCCGUGGCGGCUGCGGUGUCUUCUACAGCGCCAUCUCAACCACGGCCGCAGCAGGUUCUUGCUGAUCUCUAGCGUGCUAUGUGGUGUGUGAGUGUGUGCGCGCGCGCGGACGCGCACACACAAUGCCAUGUGUUGUGCGGUGUGUGUGCGUGCGUGUGGGGUUUGUGUAUGUGUGUGUGCGAGCGCGCGCGCACAAUGCCAUGUGUUGUGCGGUGUGUGUACGCGUGUGUGUGUGUGCGCGCGCGCGCGCGCAUGCACACAAUGCCAUGAUGAGGGUGAAGGCAGUUUCGACAGUGGAUUGGACUGUAAGUCCGACUGUGAAUCGGACAGUGAGUCUGAAAGCUAAGGCUGGUGGACCGCACUAUUGAAGUUUUUGAAUUGAUUUGAAUUUGAAUUGUACUUUUCCACUCUGCAGCAAAUGACAAAUACACUACUGCGCUAUUAUUUACAACAUCUUCCAUAUCGCUCGUUUGCUAAGAUCAGCUUAUGAUCGCUAUCACUCUGCCGUUUUCCGGUGUCCUUUGCUUCGCUCGUGCUAGCUCUCUUCCGCUGGUGUUGUCGAGAUAGUGUCCCAAUAAAUGAAAUCCUCUCAUACGAAA